rfam:Picea glauca, whole genome shotgun sequence.
AUGUACAUGCCUAUGACAUAGUGUUAAUGCAUCAAAUCCCAUUAGAACUCUGCAAUUAAGUGCGCUCGAGCUAGAGUAGUAUUGGGAUGGGUGACCUCCUGAGAAGUCCUACUAUUUUACAUG